UAUCUGAGGGGGAAAACUCUGAAACGGAAGCCAAAACACGUGACACGCCGUGUACAGAGACGGUGCGAGAACCGGAGGUGCGGGAGAGUAAGGAGCCAUCCCAUCAGUUAGUAAGUAGGGUAAGGGCCUACUUAGACGAAGACGGGUACGGGGAAUUAGAGUUCGAUUCCGGAGAGGGAGCCUGAGAGACGGCUACCAGGUCCAAGGACAGCAGCAGGCGCGCAAAUUACCGAAGCCCGCGUUCGGGGCGGUAGUAAGGAGACGUGUAAGCGAUGUGCAGGUAAAAUAUGCACUGGUAACAGGAGGUAAAGACUGGUGCCAGCAUCCGCGGUAAUACCAGCUCCUGGAGUGUCUAUGAUGAUUGCUGCAGUUAAAAAGUUCGUAUUCGGGGCUGGGGGGACUGGGGUUUAAGGCCCGCUAUCGAGGCGGGCAGUGCGCCAAAAAAGCAAAGGAUGAGGGAGCGGCCGGGGGGCCAGGUUAUUUAAGCGACGAGAGGUGAAAUUUGAUGACUCGCUUAAGGAGCAGCAAAGGCGAAAGCGCUGGCCAGGGGCGAUUCCGAUGAUAAAGGACGUAGGCUAUAGGAUCGAAAACAAUUAGAGACCGUUGUAGUUCUAGCCUUAAUGGCCA
rnacentral:rRNA from 1 species